GGGUUGUGAGGUUAAGCGACUAAGCGUACACGGUGGAUGCCUAGGCAGUCAGAGGCGAUGAAGGGCGUGCUAAUCUGCGAUAAGCGUCGGUAAGCUGAUAUGAAGCGUUAUACCCGACGAUACCCGAAUGGGGAAACCCAGUGUGUUUCGACACACUAUCAUGACAUGAAUACAUAGUGUCAUGAGGCGAACCGGGGGAACUGAAACAUCUCAGUACCCCGAGGAAAAGAAAUCAACCGAGAUUCCCCCAGUAGCGGCGAGCGAACGGGGAGGAGCCCAGAACCUGAAUCAGUUUGUGUGUUAGUGGAAGCGUCUGGAAAGUCGCACAGUAAAGGGUGAUAGUCCCGUACACAAAAAUGCACAAGUUGUGAGUUCGAUGAGUAGGGCGGGACACGUGACAUCCUGUCUGAAUAUGGGGGGACCAUCCUCCAAGGCUAAAUACUCCUGACUGACCGAUAGUGAACCAGUACCGUGAGGGAAAGGCGAAAAGAACCCCGGCGAGGGGAGUGAAAUAGAACCUGAAACCGUGUACGUACAAGCAGUGGGAGCCUACUUGUUAGGUGACUGCGUACCUUUUGUAUAAUGGGUCAGCGACUUAUAUUCUGUAGCAAGGUUAACCGUAUAGGGGAGCCGCAGGGAAACCGAGUCUUAACUGGGCGUUAAGUUGCAGGGUAUAGACCCGAAACCCGGUGAUCUAGCCAUGGGCAGGUUGAAGGUUGGGUAACACUAACUGGAGGACCGAACCGACUAAUGUUGAAAAAUUAGCGGAUGACUUGUGGCUGGGGGUGAAAGGCCAAUCAAACCGGGAGAUAGCUGGUUCUCCCCGAAAGCUAUUUAGGUAGCGCCUCGUGAAUUCAUCUUCGGGGGUAGAGCACUGUUUCGGCUAGGGGGUCAUCCCGACUUACCAACCCGAUGCAAACUACGAAUACCGAAGAAUGUUAUCACGGGAGACACACGGCGGGUGCUAACGUUCGUCGUGAAGAGGGAAACAACCCAGACCGCCAGCUAAGGUCCCAAAGUCAUGGUUAAGUGGGAAACGAUGUGGGAAGGCAUAGACAGCCAGGAUGUUGGCUUAGAAGCAGCCAUCAUUUAAAGAAAGCGUAAUAGCUCACUGGUCGAGUCGGCCUGCGCGGAAGAUGUAACGGGGCUAAACCAUGCACCGAAGCUGCGGCAGCGACACUUAGGUGUUGUUGGGUAGGGGAGCGUUCUGUAAGCCUGCGAAGGUGGCCUGUGAGGGCUGCUGGAGGUAUCAGAAGUGCGAAUGCUGACAUAAGUAACGAUAAUGCGGGUGAAAAACCCGCACGCCGGAAGACCAAGGGUUCCUGUCCAACGUUAAUCGGGGCAGGGUGAGUCGACCCCUAAGGCGAGGCUGAAAAGCGUAGUCGAUGGGAAACAGGUUAAUAUUCCUGUACUCGGUGUUACUGCGAAGGGGGGACGGAGAAAGCUAGGUUAUCCGGGCGACGGUUGUCCCGGUUUAAGCGUGAAGGUGGAUGACUUUGGUAAAUCCGGGUCAUCAUUAACACUGAGGCGUGAUGACGAGUCACUACGGUGAUGAAGUAACCGAUGCUACGCUUCCAGGAAAAGCCUCUAAGCUCCAGGUAACAUCAAAUCGUACCCCAAACCGACACAGGUGGUCAGGUAGAGAAUACUCAGGCGCUUGAGAGAACUCGGGUGAAGGAACUAGGCAAAAUGGUGCCGUAACUUCGGGAGAAGGCACGCUGAUGGUAGGUGAAGUGACUUGCUCAUGGAGCUGAAAUCAGUCGAAGAUACCAGCUGGCUGCAACUGUUUAAUAAAAACACAGCACUGUGCAAACACGAAAGUGGACGUAUACGGUGUGACGCCUGCCCGGUGCCGGAAGGUUAAUUGAUGGGGUCAGCCGCAAGGCGAAGCUCUUGAUCGAAGCCCCGGUAAACGGCGGCCGUAACUAUAACGGUCCUAAGGUAGCGAAAUUCCUUGUCGGGUAAGUUCCGACCUGCACGAAUGGCGUAAUGAUGGCCAGGCUGUCUCCACCCGAGACUCAGUGAAAUUGAACUCGCUGUGAAGAUGCAGUGUACCCGCGGCAAGACGGAAAGACCCCGUGAACCUUUACUAUAGCUUGACACUGAACCUUGAGCCUUGAUGUGUAGGAUAGGUGGGAGGCUUUGAAGUGUGGACGCCAGUCUGCAUGGAGCCAACCUUGAAAUACCACCCUUUAAUGUUUGAUGUUCUAACGUGGACCCGUGAUCCGGGUUGCGGACAGUGUCUGGUGGGUAGUUUGACUGGGGCGGUCUCCUCCCAAAGCGUAACGGAGGAGCACGAAGGUUAGCUAAUCCUGGUCGGACAUCAGGAGGUUAGUGCAAAGGCAUAAGCUAGCUUGACUGCGAGAGUGACAGCUCGAGCAGGUGCGAAAGCAGGUCUUAGUGAUCCGGUGGUUCUGAAUGGAAGGGCCAUCGCUCAACGGAUAAAAGGUACUCCGGGGAUAACAGGCUGAUACCGCCCAAGAGUUCAUAUCGACGGCGGUGUUUGGCACCUCGAUGUCGGCUCAUCACAUCCUGGGGCUGAAGUAGGUCCCAAGGGUAUGGCUGUUCGCCAUUUAAAGUGGUACGCGAGCUGGGUUUAGAACGUCGUGAGACAGUUCGGUCCCUAUCUGCCGUGGGCGUUGGAAGAUUGAGAGGGGUUGCUCCUAGUACGAGAGGACCGGAGUGAACGCACCACUGGUGUACGGGUUGUGAUGCCAAUUGCAUUGCCCGGUAGCUAAGUGCGGAAGAGAUAACCGCUGAAAGCAUCUAAGCGGGAAACUUGCCUCGAGAUGAGUCUUCCCUGGGUACUUGAUACCCCUGAAGGGCCGUUGAAGACGACGACGUAGAUAGGCUGGGUGUGUAAGCGUAGCGAUACGUUGAGCUAACCAGUACUAAUGACCCGAGAGGCUUAACCUUACAACACCGAAGGUGUUU
rnacentral:rRNA from 1 species